rnacentral:rRNA from 1 species
UACGUAGGGGGCAAGCGUUGUCCGGAAUCAUUGGGCGUAAAGAGCGUGUAGGCGGCCAGAAAAGUCCGCUGUGAAAACUCGAGGCUCAACUCGAGCUGUCGGUGGAAACUUUCUGGGCUAGAGUCCGGAAGAGGAGAAUGGAAUUCCUGGUGUAGCGGUGAAAUGCGCAGAUAUCGAGGAAGAACACCCGUGGCGAAGGCGGUUCUCUGGGACGGUACUGACGCUGAGACGCGAAAGCGUGGGGAGCGAACAGG